GGGUUGUGAGGUUAAGCGACUAAGCGUACACGGUGGAUGCCCUGGCAGUCAGAGGCGAUGAAGGACGUGCUAAUCUGCGAUAAGCGUCGGUAAGGUGAUAUGAACCGUUAUAACCGGCGAUUUCCGAAUGGGGAAACCCAGUGUGAUUCGUCACACUAUCAUUAACUGAAUCCAUAGGUUAAUGAGGCGAACCGGGGGAACUGAAACAUCUAAGUACCCCGAGGAAAAGAAAUCAACCGAGAUUCCCCCAGUAGCGGCGAGCGAACGGGGAGCAGCCCAGAGCCUGAAUCAGUGUGUGUGUUAGUGGAAGCGUCUGGAAAGGCGCGCGAUACAGGGUGACAGCCCCGUACACAAAAAUGCACAUACUGUGAGCUCGAUGAGUAGGGCGGGACACGUGGUAUCCUGUCUGAAUAUGGGGGGACCAUCCUCCAAGGCUAAAUACUCCUGACUGACCGAUAGUGAACCAGUACCGUGAGGGAAAGGCGAAAAGAACCCCGGCGAGGGGAGUGAAAAAGAACCUGAAACCGUGUACGUACAAGCAGUGGGAGC
rnacentral:rRNA from 1 species